AUACCGUGCAUUGUAACGUCGUACCCUCUCACAAAACUGAAAACGCCAUGGCUGUUGUUGGAAAUGGCGACGUCAUAUUUUGGCUCUGUGAUAUUUUGUGGUAUUUUGUUAUUCAUGAUUUUCAUUUCGGUGUUUGUGAUAGAUUUUUUGACAGGUCUGAUUUUUAUAACUGUUUUCCCCAGACAACGAUUCAGCAUUACCGUGUCAGACGUUCUGACAGUUUACCUCGUUUUUGUGAAUCUAGUCACUCUUUUCGUCAUUUCAAUACAGAGAUCUAAACAUGGACUCCAAACACACCACGUGAUCGCUCUCUGGGCCGUUCUUCUCGGGCAUCUUUUCGCAGUAAUACUACUCGAACACUCUUUACUGAGCCUGUGGAUGUUUAGUUUUUUAACUGUUCAGGGAACUCUGCUACAAUUAAAUCUAAGAUCUGAAGACUAUACACAUGAUGACCAGCUAACGGCAUUAUCAAAGUGCAUCAAAAAAGUAGUCGAUAUAGGACAGGAAACGCGUUACUAUGACUACAACUCCCUGUUCCUGAUCGGGCACUCGGCGGGCGGCCAUCUUUGUUCACUCAUCGCUCUCCGCCCCGACGUGCUGGCUAGUGCUGGCGUGGAGUCUACUUCUAUUAAGGGUGUAGUGGCGAUCUCAGCGGUCCUACAGGUGGAGAAGCUCAACACCCCCGCCCUCCGCCCCCUCUACCUCCACCCCACGUUUGGCAAGGACCCGGAUGACUGGUCGUCUGCUUGUCCAAUGAGUCGUCUGCAGAACAAAGAGUAUUCAGACCUCCCCAACUUUCUAGUCAUUACAGCCGAGAAGGACUGGCAUCUCCACCACGAGGCCGCCAUGUUUGCUGAGGAGCUCGGGGGUCGGGAUGCUCACCGGGGGAGUGUGGUGUUCCCCCGGACCACCCAUCUAUCGAUUAUUUGUAACUUUGACAGGGAAUGUGAAGUCCUUAACACCAGCGUGGCUAACCAGUGCGUCCAGUUCAUACAGCAAACGUAUGACGCAGAGCAAACGAGUACAACUUGUGCUUUACAGAGGAAUAGGGGGAAUGUCACGUGAUUAUCAGCAUUUUUUAACGGAAAGAUGUUUGGUUGACAAUUCUUUAAUUGUGUUGUGUUUAAUGUGUUGUCUUAUUUUGUUAUAUCAUUUUGUCUGUUAAUUAAUCAUUGUAAAAAUAUAAUUUAUACUAUAUAAAUCAUACCUUAAUUU
rnacentral:misc_RNA from 1 species